UACGAAGGGGGCUAGCGUUGUUCGGAAUUACUGGGCGUAAAGCGAACGUAGGCGGUGUUCCAUGUCAGAGGUGAAAGCCUGGGGCUCAACUCCAGAAUUGCCUUUGAAACGGGGACGCUUGAGUCCGAGAGAGGAUGGCGGAAUUCCUAGUGUAGAGGUGAAAUUCGUAGAUAUUAGGAAGAACACCGGUGGCGAAGGCGGCCAUCUGGCUCGGUACUGACGCUCAGGUUCGAAAGCGUGGGGAGCAAAGCAGG
rnacentral:rRNA from 1 species